ACUACGGGGGGCAGCAGUGGGGGAUAUUGCACAAUGGGGGGAACCCUGAUGCAGCGACGCCGCGUGGGUGAAGGAGUGCUUCGGCAUGUAAAGCCCUAUCGGCAGGGAAGAAGCAAGACGGUACCUGACUAAGAAGCCCCGGCUAACUACGUGCCAGCAGCCGCGGUAAUACGUAGGGGGCGAGCGUUAUCCGGAUUCACUGGGUGUAAAGGGAGCGUAGACGGCCAUGCAAGCCAGGGGUGAAAGCCCGGGGCCCAACCCCGGGACUGCCCUUGGAACUGCAUGGCUGGAGUGCGGGAGGGGCAGGCGGAAUUCCUGGUGUAGCGGUGAAAUGCGUAGAUAUCAGGAGGAACACCGGCGGCGAAGGCGGCCCGCUGGACCGCGACUGACGUUGAGGCUCGAAAGCGUGGGGAGCGAACAGGAUUAGAUACCCCGGUAGUC
rnacentral:rRNA from 1 species